GACGAACGCUGGCGGCGUGCUUAACACAUGCAAGUCGAACGGAAAGGCCCUGCUUUUGUGGGGUGCUCGAGUGGCGAACGGGUGAGUAACACGUGAGUAACCUGCCCUUGACUUUGGGAUAACUUCAGGAAACUGGGGCUAAUACCGGAUAGGAGCUCCUGCUGCAUGGUGGGGGUUGGAAAGUUUCGGCGGUUGGGGCUGGACUCGCGGCUUAUCAGCUUGUUGGUGGGGUAGUGGCUUACCAAGGGUUUGACGGGUAGCCGGCCUGAGAGGGGGACCGGCCACAAUGGGACUGAGAGACGGCCCAGACUCCUACGGGAGGCAGCAGUGGGGAAUAUUGCACAACGGGCGGAAGCCUGAUGCAGCAACGCCGCGUGCGGGACGACGGCCUUCGGGUUGUAAACCGCUUUCGCCUGUGACGAAGAGUGAGUGACGGUAAUGGGUAAAGAAGCACCGGCUAACUACGUG
rnacentral:rRNA from 1 species